AGAUUGAACGCUGGCGGCAUGCUUUACACAUGCAAGUCGAACGGUAACAGGCCGCAAGGUGCUGACGAGUGGCGAACGGGUGAGUAAUGUAUCGGAACGUGCCCAGUCGUGGGGGAUAACGCAGCGAAAGCUGCGCUAAUACCGCAUACGAUCUAUGGAUGAAAGGCGGGGGACCGUAAGGCCUCGCGCGAGUUGGAGCGGCCGAUAUCGAGUAUUAGGUAGUUGGUAGGGGUAAAGGCUCAACCAAGCCAACGUAUCGUGUA
rnacentral:rRNA from 1 species